rnacentral:rRNA from 1 species
UGCCAGACUCCUACGGGAGGCAGCAGUGGGGAAUAUUGCACAAUGGGGGAAACCCUGAUGCAGCGACGCCGCGUGAGUGAAGAAGUAUUUCGGUAUGUAAAGCUCUAUCAGCAGGGAAGAAAAUGACGGUACCUGAUUAAGAAGCCCCGGCUAACUACGUGCCAGCAGCCGCGGUAAUACGUAGGGGGCAAGCGUUAUCCGGAUUUACUGGGUGUAAAGGGAGCGUAGACGGCAAUGCAAGCCAGAUGUGAAAACCCGCAGCUCAACUGGGGGAGUGCAUUUGGAACUGUGUAGCUGGAGUGCAGGAGAGGUAAGCGGAAUUCCUGGUGUAGCGGUGAAAUGCGUAGAUAUUAGGAGGAACACCAGUGGCGAAGGCGGCUUACUGGACUGUAACUGACGUUGAGGCUCGAAAGCGUGGGGAGCAAACAGGAUUAGAUACCCCAGUACA